CGGAUGUGUGUAUCGCUGCCGCUCAACAGAGGCGAAACGGACGUAGUAGGAAGGGUGGAAGAGAGGGGGGUGAUGACAGCGUGGGAAGGGGGGUGCGUCUCCUGUCAACCACACUAGAAAGAAGAUACGGCCGACGCACAUACAUAGAGAACGGACGCAAAAAAAAAAAUUGCCUAAGUGAACAUGACGCGCCGCAAGUGGCUGUGUCAGUAGCAGAAGAGGGGCUUGCGCUGUGAGUGACUCUGAGCACUCCCCACCCUCCGCAGCACCGCAAAGGAGUGAGCUGAGUCAGCAGCAGUGCAAACUGCGAAGCACGGCAUAGGAAGCGAGGAUGCGAUCCGGGAGCCGGAGGAGGGGAGCUGUCUCGAUGCCGCCGUUUUUUUUUUUCUUUUUUUCGCUGUGCUGAGCUGACAUCCGUGCGCCUCUUGGUCGCCUCUCCACACUCACCAGCCCCCCCCCCUCACCCUCCCUCUCCUCUCUUGCCUCCGUCUCGCUGACCGCGCUCUGGAUGCGAUGGGCUUUCGUUUUGCUCUCGCUCUCUCCUGCUGCGUUCACUGGUUCCCGCGGGCACCAAAG
rnacentral:misc_RNA from 1 species